rnacentral:rRNA from 1 species
GACGAACGCUGGCGGCGUGCCUAAUACAUGCAAGUAGAACGCUGAAGGAGGAGCUUGCUUCUCUGGAUGAGUUGCGAACGGGUGAGUAACGCGUAGGUAACCUGCCUGGUAGUGGGGGAUAACUAUUGGAAACGAUAGCUAAUACCGCAUAAGAGUAGAUGUUGCAUGACAUUUGCUUAAAAGGUGCAAUUGCAUCACUACCAGAUGGACCUGCGUUGUAUUAGCUAGUUGGUGGGGUAACGGCUCACCAAGGCGACGAUACGUAGCCGACCUGAGAGGGUGAUCGGCCACACUGGGACUGAGACACGGCCCAGACUCCUACGGGAGGCAGCAGUAGGGAAUCUUCGGCAAUGGACGGAAGUCUGACCGAGCAACGCCGCGUGAGUGAAGAAGGUUUUCGGAUCGUAAAGCUCUGUUGUAAGAGAAGAACGAGUGUGAGAGUGGAAAGUUCACACUGUGACGGUAUCUUACCAGAAAGGGACGGCUAACUACGUG